CCGUUCUUGUGUUAUUUGUUGAUUGUUUAACCAAGAUCAAUGAUUGUCAAACAGAACGUACAUUAAAUUUAAAACAACGACUCGUUAUAAUU